rnacentral:rRNA from 1 species
GACUCCUACGGGAGGCAGCAGUGAGGAAUAUUGGACAAUGGUCGCAAGACUGAUCCAGCCAUGCCGCGUGCAGGAAGACUGCCCUAUGGGUUGUAAACUGCUUUUAUAUGGGAAGAAUAAGAUCUACGUGUAGAUUGAUGACGGUACCAUAAGAAUAAGCACCGGCUAACUCCGUGCCAGCAGCCGCGGUAAGACGGAGGAUGCAAGUGUUAUCCGGAAUCACUGGGCGUAAAGCGUCUGUAGGUUGUUAAAUAAGUCAACUGUUAAAUCUUGAGGCUCAACUUCAAAAUCGCAGUCGAAACUGUUUGACUAGAGUAUAGUAGGGGUAAAGGGAAUUUCCAGUGGAGCGGUGAAAUGCGUAGAUAUUGGAAAGAACACCGAUGGCGAAGGCACUUUACUGGGCUAUUACUGACACUCAGAGACGAAAGCUAGGGUAGCAAAUGGGAUUAGAUACCCCAGUAGUCCUAGCCGUAAACAAUGGAUACUAGAUGUUGAACAGAUCGACCUGUGCAGUAUCAAAGCUAACGCGUUAAGUAUCCCGCCUGGGAAGUAUGCGCGCAAGCGUGAAACUCAAAGGAAUUGACGGGGGCCCGCACAAGC